GCAGGGGUUGCCAAGCUUGGUCAACGGCGCUGGGUUUAGGUCCCAGUCCUUAGUGGUUCAUCGGUUCAAAUCCGAUCCUCUGCACCA
rnacentral:tRNA from 1 species